GAUGAAGAACGCAGCGAAAUGCGAUAAGUAGUGUGAAUUGCAGAAUUCAGUGAAUCAUCGAAUCUUUGAACGCACAUUGCGCCCCUUGGUAUUCCAUGGGGCAUGCCUGUUCGAGCGUCAUUUGUACCCUCAAGCUUUGCUUGGUGUUGGGCGUCUUGUCGUAUUACGACUCGCCUUAAAUACAUUGGCAGCCGGCACUUUGGCCUAGGAGCGCAGCACAUUUUGCGAUCGUAGCCCGUUGUACUGGCGUCCAUCAAGAACAUUUACCACGUUUGACCUCGGAUCAGGUAGGGAUACCCGCUGAACUUAAGCAUAUCAAUAACGGAGGA
rnacentral:misc_RNA from 1 species